GUAAACGAUGGAGACUAGGUGUAGGGAGUAUUAACCUCUCUGUGCCGUAGCUAACGCGUUAAGUCUCCCGCCUGGGGAUUACGACCGCAAGGUUAAAACUCAAAGGAAUUGACGGGUCCCCGCACAAGCAGCGGAGCGUGUGGUUUAAUUCGAGGCUACACGAAGAACCUUACCAGGGUUUGACAUAUACGUGGUAGGAAUCCGAAAGGUGACCGACCCUUCGGGGAGCGUAUACAGGUGUUGCAUGGCUGUCGUCAGCUCGUGCCGUGAGGUGUCAGGUUAAGUCCCUUGAACGAGCGCAACCCUUACCGUUAGUUACAAGUGUCUAGCGGGACUGCCCGGCUCAACUGGGAGGAAGGUGGGGACGACGUCAAGUCAGCAUGGCCUUUAUAUCCCUGGG
rnacentral:rRNA from 1 species